CCUACGGGGUGCAGCAGUCGGGAAUAUUGCGCAAUGGAGGAAACUCUGACGCAGUGACGCCGCGUGCAGGAAGAAGGUUUUCGGAUUGUAAACUGCUUUAGACAGGGAAGAAAAAAGACAGUACCUGUAGAAUAAGCUCCGGCUAACUACGUGCCAGCAGCCGCGGUAAUACGUAGGGAGCAAGCGUUAUCCGGAUUUAUUGGGUGUAAAGGGUGCGUAGGCGGUCCGGAAAGUCAGCGGUAAAAGCCCGGGGCUCAACCCCGGCGAGCCGUUGAAACUGUCGGACUAGAGACGGCGAGAAGUACGCGGAAGGCGCGGUGUAGCGGUGAAAUGCAUAGAUAUCGCGCAGAACUCCGAUUGCGAAGGCAGCGUACCGGCGCCGGACUGACGCUGAGGCACGAAAGCGUGGGUAUCGAACAGGAUUAGAUACCCGUGUAGUC
rnacentral:rRNA from 1 species